rnacentral:rRNA from 1 species
UUGGGUAGGGGAGCGUUCUGUAAGCCUGUGAAGGUGUACUGUGAGGUAUGCUGGAGGUAUCAGAAGUGCGAAUGCUGACAUAAGUAACGAUAAAGCGGGUGAAAAGCCCGCUCGCCGGAAGACCAAGGGUUCCUGUCCAACGUUAAUCGGGGCAGGGUGAGUCGACCCCUAAGGCGAGGCCGAAAGGCGUAGUCGAUGGGAAACAGGUUAAUAUUCCUGUACUUGGUGUUACUGCGAAGGGGGGACGGAGAAGGCUAUGUUGGCCGGGCGACGGUUGUCCCGGUUUAAGCGUGUAGGCUGGUUUUCCAGGCAAAUCCGGAAAAUCAAGGCUGAGGCGUGAUGACGAGGCACUACGGUGCUGAAGCAACAAAUGCCCUGCUUCCAGGAAAAGCCUCUAAGCAUCAGGUAACAUCAAAUCGUACCCCAAACCGACACAGGUGGUCAGGUAGAGAAUACCAAGGCGCUUGAGAGAACUCGGGUGAAGGAACUAGGCAAAAUGGUGCCGUAACUUCGGGAGAAGGCACGCUGAUAUGUAGGUGAAGUCCCUCGCGGAUGGAGCUGAAAUCAGUCGAAGAUACCAGCUGGCUGCAACUGUUUAUUAAAAACACAGCACUGUGCAAACACGAAAGUGGACGUAUACGGUGUGACGCCUGCCCGGUGC